rnacentral:sRNA from 1 species
UGUGUAUAUAUAUAUACAUAUAUAUACAUACACACACACACACACACACACACACACACACACACACACAGAGUGAGCUCCAGUACAUCAUGGGUGACUGUGUAAAAUUCUGUCUCAAAAACAAACAAAUAUAAAACAAAGCAGCCAACUGCCGAGCAUGGCGGCACCUUUGAUCCCAGCUCUCAGGGAGUAGAGCAGGUGGAUGGCUCUCUGCAAGUUGGAGGCCUGCCUGGUCUAGAGUUCCAGAACAGACGGGGACACACAGAAUCUUGUCUUUAAAAGGCCAAAGACUGACAAGUCCACACUGCUAAAGCAAGUGGGCAGUAGGAUUUAGGCCAUCAGAGAGUUCCCUUGGUAGAGGGACUCGGCCCGCAACUCCAGGACAUGACCCGAGUUUCAGUCUCGGCCUCUUACUGCAAAGGGGAAUGAGGCAGAGGGCCGGGCUCCUAAGCUCUGAGGGGGUGAUCCAGCAGAGAGUAGGCGUGUUGGCUAAAGAAAUGACUGAAGUCUUCCCCAAGUGUGGUGGGCACCGGAGGAGAUGCCUGUGUGUCCCCGAGAAGGACAAGUCAGGUUCGCCAGGCAGAGGUGGCUGCGUUGGGGGGAUUUGGAGCUGAAAAGCAGGAAGAGGGAGGAGGUGAGGCUGGAGAAAUGGAGGUUUGCCAGAGUCUAAGAGGAUUGAGCUACUUAAGCUUAGAAACCUGGGCUGAUCCCAGAGCCAUCGCAGAGCUGGAAGUGAAUUGGUGUGGGUAUGGUUUUUCUUUUUUCUUUUUUUUUUUUCAGAGCUGGGGACUGAACCCAGGGCCUUGCGCUUGCUAGGCAAGUGCUCUACCGCUGAGCUAAAUCCCCAACCCCGGAUAUGUUUUUUUCUAGAAGGAUCACCUUACCCACCAAAUGACGAUGGAGUGGGAGACACAGGGAGGUUGAGGCAAGCAACCAAGAGCUGUAAGGCUCCAAGCUUAGGCAGCAAGGGAGGGAAGGAGAAGUGAGAGCUGCUUCUGAGGUGGGAUCUGCCCGAAGUGGCAGCUGUUAGGUGUCAAAGUUUUGGUUUCCUGUUCCAAGUAGUUGAACACAGACCUCAGACGUCAUCCCAGGAGAGAGGUUUGGGCAAGGGGAAGAUGAGGGGAAGGUGGAAAGGUACCACAGUCCCUAAGGGCAGCCUCAUCUGAGCCUCCCCGACAGGGGCUCUUCCCAUUUCGAAAGCAUAGAAACCAAAUCUCGGCGGUGCCUAUGGUGCUGCGUGGUGAGGCUUCUUGAGGCACAGCUGGGGAGGGAACCAGGCGGUUCUCUGCAGGUGUUGGCGUAGAUGCCCUCGAGAAACGUGAAACGUGAAUGGUGCAUUGACGACAGAGUAGGAAGAUGUGUCUGUUCCCAAGAGACCCUGGGGUGAGGAAUAGCCGGGCUGUGGGCUGGUGUCUGACAGAGCUUGGUGGGAGAUGGAGGCAGAGGUGUGGUUGACGCAUACAGAAGAGUCAAGAGCGGAUGUUUGGGGGUUGUGGGGAGAAGAUUCAAUAAAUAGUGCAAAGUGGAAGGCAGAAAAUGGGUCACUGGACUUAGCAACUUAGCACCUAAGAGGCCUUGGCUGAAGCAGCCAGGGUGAUGUGUGAUGGAAACAGAGUUGCAAGGUCACAGUAAAAUUACACGGUGAGGUGAGGAAGCGGAGGCGGUGGGCGGGAGCACUGGCUUCAAGUGCCGAGCAGGGCCCUCCACACAGCAGCCUGGCUGGACGCAUCUAGAAAGGUUGUUUUAACUCUCAGCUGCCCCUGCUCACUGUAGAUUAACUGCAUCAGAAGCUGGGGGGUUGGAGGGGGACGAUCUCAGGCAUCUAAGUGGUCCAAGUCCCGCUCACAUCCUGACAAAAACUGAUACAUAUGCUCGUAAGUUAAGAAUAGUGCUCAGAACCAGAGACAGCUAAGGUAAACGUGACCGCUGCCUAGCGUGGUAAUCUCGGUCUGAUCCCCGGAGAACUAACUCUCACAUGUUGUUCUCUUGACCCCAUGUACGUGCAUGUGCAAAUGCACACGUGCGCGCGCGCGCGCGCGCACACACACACACACACACACACACACACACACACACACACACACACAUGAGAGGGGGGUAGGGAGAGACAGAAACAGAGACAGAGAGACCAAGAGGGUGUAAAUGAAUGUUAGAUGCAGCAGCGGCGGCGGCGGCGGCGGCGGCGGCGGCGGCGGCAGCAGCGAGAAUCAGGAUAUCGCUGGGUGACGCAGUACUUUGAAGCCUGCUGCAGAUCCUGAGCUCAGUUCUCACACUUAGAGGGGUGAGUGCUUACUGCCAAGUCAUGGAGUCAGCCCCAGUGCCCAUCAACGGAAAGGUCAUGGUCCUCGCCAACCUUCUGGCUGAGCCGGAGUCAGACAUCAGACUGUGUGUCGGUCACAUGUGUGAGGCAGCAAUGGACCAGAGCCUUGAGGACAGGAUGCUCUGAAGAGGAAAACAGAAGAGAAAGGACCAGAUGCUGUGAGACAAGGUCUCUUGCUGGAUGAACCUGGAACUCACUAACCCCCCCCCAUGCCCUCAGUGUGAAGAUUGCAGACUAACUUUUGUGUGGGUCCUGGGGAAUCCAAACUCAGGUCUUCGUGCUAGUAAGGGUGGCACGUUUACUCUCUCCAGACCCCAUCCUUGAACUCGUGUGGUUUUAAUUUACUCUUAUUAAGAAUUCACAUCUGGGGGUGGGGACUUAGCUCAGUGGUAGGGCGCUUACCUAGCAAGCACAAGGCCCUGCGUUCAGUCCCCAGCUCCGAAAAAAAGAAAAGAAAAACAAAACAAAACAAAACAAAAAUUUUAGAAACCUAGGUGGGACAAAAAUCAUUAUUAUUGAACCCCUUUCUCAGAAAAAAGGAAUCCAUGGCUAUUUUCUCAGAAUUUCAUAUUCAAAUGCCCUCCCUGGAAACCCAUCCGCAGUCCCUCAGUAAAGAACUCAAACCUACAGGGGCCAGCCUGGACACCUGCUCCUUGCCACCCUGAAGUGUCUUCCAGAUGCAGAAACCCAGGAUCCUACCUGGUGAGUCACUUCCCAGGGUUCCCACACUGUGAAUACCCCUGGCCUCAAACCCAGGUCAGUGUUAACGUUAGGAGGGAAAGGUAGACCAGGCAUAACACAAGUUUGAUCCCAGCACUUGGCAGACAGAUGGAGGCAAACUUCUGUGAGUUUGAGGACAACUUGACCAGCACAGGCAACUCCGGGGAUUCUAGCCAGACCUACAAACCCAGAGCACGCUCCACAGGCAAGCCUGAGGAGUUGCAUGCAAACCAGCAGGAAGGGGUGGAGGAUGGGGGAGGAGGCCCCAGGGAGGAAAAAAAACACACAAAAGAUUCAAA